CUAGUAACUGCGAGUGAAGCGGGAAAAGCUCAAAUUUAAAAUCUGGUGGUUCUUGUAGCCAUCCGAGUUGUAAUCUAGAGAAGUGUUACCCGCGCUGGACCGUGUACAAGUCUCCUGGAAUGGAGCAUCAUAGAGGGUGAGAAUCCCGUCUUUGACAUGGACUGCCAGGGCUUAUGUGGUGUGCUCUCAAAGAGUCGAGUUGUUUGGGAAUGCAGCUCUAAAUGGGUGGUAAAUUCCAUCUAAAGCUAAAUAUUGGCGAGAGACCGAUAGCGAACAAGUACCGUGAGGGAAAGAUGAAAAGAACUUUGGAAAGAGAGUUAAACAGUACGUGAAAUUGUUGAAAGGGAAACGCUUAAAGUCAGUCACAUUAGCUGGGGAUCAUCCAUGCUUUCUUUGCUUGGUGUACUUUCUAGUUGAUGGGUCAACAUCAAUUUUGACCAGUGGAUAAAGAUUAGGGGAAUGUGGCAUCUUUGGAUGUGUUAUAGACUCUGGUCAUAUACAUUGGUUGGGAUUGAGGAACUCAGCAUGCCGAAAGGCCGGGUUUUUAUUAACUACGUUACAUGCUUAGGAUGUUGGCAUAAUGGCUUUAAUCGACCCGUCUUGAAACACGGACCAAGGAGUCUAACAUACCUGCAAGUGUUUGGGUGGAAAACUCAGACGCGUAAUGAAAGUGAAAGUUGAGAUCCUUGUCGUGAGGAGCAUCGACGCCCGGACCAGACCUUUUGUGACGGUUCCGCGGUAGAGCAUGUAUGUUGGGACCCGAAAGAUGGUGAACUAUGCCUGAAUAGGGUGAAGCCAGAGGAAACUCUGGUGGAGGCUCGUANCGAUUCUGACGUGCAAAUCGAUCGUCGAAUUUGGGUAUAGGGGCGAA
rnacentral:rRNA from 1 species